rnacentral:misc_RNA from 1 species
GAAAUGCGAUAAUUAAUGUGAAUUGCAGAAUUCAGUGAAGCAUCGAGUCUUUGAACGCACAUUGCGCCCCCUGGUAUUCCGGGGGGCAUGCCUGUCCGAGCGUCAUUGCUGCCCUCAAGCACGGCUUGUGUGUUGGGCUUCCGUCCCUGGCAACGGGGACGGGCCCAAAAGGCAGUGGCGGCACCAUGUCUGGUCCUCGAGCGUAUGGGGCUUUGUCACCCGCUCCCGUAGGUCCAGCUGGCAGCUAGCCUCGCAACCAAUCUUUUUAACCAGGUUGACCUCGGAUCAGGUAGGGAUACCCGCUGAACUUAAGC